AUAGUUUUAUUCUGGCUAUUAUUUCCUCUAUUAGGUAGUUGCGCAUGUAAGCGGGGCUUAAAGCCUAGAAUUAUUAAAUUAAGGUGAUUUUAUCUCAGCGUAAAAAUUUGGGGGAUAGGUGACGGCCUGAACUAGGAAACCUUAAAAUUGAGGCUAAACUUGUGCCAGCAGCCGCGGUUAGACUGAUUAAAUGAGAGGAGUUUUUAGGCGUGGGGUAAGGUGAUUGGCGACUGGCUGUGUUUAUUAUUUUAAAAAUAAAAAGUGAAAUUUAAUAUUUGUAUAAAGUAGGUUGCUCGGUUUGGUACUGAACCCGUAAGAGGCAGGAUUAAAAUAGGAUUAGAUACCCUACUAUACUGGGUUGAAAUUAAUUAACGCCGGGUAGUAACAGUUAUUAUCUUGAAACCCAAAGAACUUGGCGGUAUCACAUUCUUAUUAGAGGAACCUGCUUCAGAAACGAUAACCCCCGAAGUACCUUACUUUUUUUUGUUUGUCAGUUUGUAUACCGCCAUUAUUAGAUUGUUUCUAGAGAAGGCUAUUAAGAUCAUUUAACAAAUGUAUAUAUUAGGUCAAGGUGCAGCUAAUAAAAAAGUGUAAGUGGGUUACAAUUAAUUAAGUUAGUGGCUAAAAGGGUGAAAUACUUUUAAAAAUUGGAUUUAAUUGUAAUAUUAUUUUAUUAAGGUGAUUUGAUCUUAGCUCUGUGAUAUGUACACAUCGCCCGUCGCUCUCAUCUUAAAAUGAGAUAAGUCGUAACAUAGUAGGGGUGUCGGAAGAGGCCCCUGGAAUUUAUA
rnacentral:ncRNA from 1 species